CUGGCACCUCCCAGCCCAUAUAUGGCUGACACCCCCAUGGGAUCUGGGAGCUGGAAGGCCUUGGCCUGUCCUUGAGGGGUCUGAGCCUGUUUCCCUAAAACUUCCCAUGUGUGCCUGUCCAUUGUGCGAGUGCCAGGAUCUGGGGGAGGGGGGAGGACCCUGGCCAACUCUGUAGUUCUGACCCCACCCUCUGUGCCCUCCAUCCUCAUGUGAGCAUGGUUCUGGGGGGCCAUUGCUUUUGAGGGAGGGUCCUGAGCCCCCUCCCUCCCAAUGAUCCUCGACCCCCUCAUGUGAGCUGGUCUCUUUGGGUCCCUGCCCCUCGGGGGGUGUCUGAGCACCUCUUCCUGCACCCCCUGUGAGCCAGUAUUUGGGGAAAUCCUACCACUGUGGGUGUGGAGCGGAGAACAGGCAUACUGGGAGCGUGCACCAAGAACACACCGCUGACACCAGGGUGAGGAGUUGAGUCCGGGCACGCUUGGUGCAUAUCCCAGGCUCUCCAGCAAUGGGGAUGAGAAUAUCCACGGCCAUGAAUGGAGCAGUUCCAGAAUAUCGAGUUCAGCAAAUCUCAAACACCUAAAAGCCAGGAAAUACAGGUACGUGCCCAGGUAGCCGUAACUCCGCCCUCUGAGUGAUGUCCCAACAGGUCCAUCAUACGCUCACACUCGGCCUUUUCACUGUCAUGGGCAGGAGCUGCCUCCGCUUGCCCAGCGCUCCAACACGAAGCAUAAUCCCUGCACAACACUGCACAUGUGAAAUGUACCAACCACUUCCCACUCACUCACUGGAUACCAUCUAACCUUAGACUUUCCCUUUCCCACAUUCAACCCACAGCCUGCUCUGGCAUCCCACCUCACUGCUGCCAAUCCCCAUGGCAAGACCCCCCAGUGCCUUGCUACGGAGACAACAUACACAAGUUUGCAACAAAAUGAGGCAGACUGGAUCCUCAAGGUCUGGGAGGAACUGUCCGAGCUCCCCUUAGAGAGAGGCUUGCCACGUUCAGACAAUCUGCAGGGGGCCAGGAGGUGACCGGCCCCGCAAACCAGCUGCCCAGCCACCCCAGAGGGGCCUGAUCCCAACCCAGCGUUCGCCCGGAGCCCAGAUGGAUCCAGCAGCUUCUCCCUCUGCCGGGGCACCGCAGCCCACAGGGCAUCUUCAUGGCAGGGAUGGGCCUGGCACAGCCCCAGAUCCAGCCAGCCAGAGCGGGGUGGCAGCUCCUCCUGCCCCACAGGGACCCCUUGCUGCAGCUGUCGUGAGCCCCUGCCUUCGCUUGGAGCUCUCGCCGGGGAGGGGCUGCUGCUGCUGACUCUGCUCUGAGCUCUGCCUGAGGAUGGGGGAGAUGCACUCGGCCCCUGGAGGGGUCAGGAACCAAAGAUUUCAACCAUGCUUCGUGCCUUGCUGUGAACAUCACAUUGCAGCUGCCAUUGGGAGAUGCUGUUAGGGGUCACUACAGAGCAGCGGAUGGCCGAAGAGCCAGUCCCCUGCUCCCGACAGAGCCCCAGGAUGACCCUGAGAGCAGCGACGUGGAGGAGAUGGAAGUGGAGGAGAUGGGAGAACAAGAGGACGAGGAGAUGGACGUGAAUUAGAACAUCGCUCUGAAUCUGAUCUGUAUAGUGCUGGAUGUGCAUAUGGACCAUAGGAUGUGCCCCUAUAGGAGGGGCACUGUUUACAGACCUAGACCUCUCAGGGAUUUUUUAAAAUGUAUUUUAUUAUUAUGUUCUCCUUUGCACUUACAAGCUUUGAGCAGAUUUGGGGAUUAAUGAAUGUUCUGUUUCCAGUGGUGUCACUGUGUCGACAGCUCUGGGAUUCGGACACGAUACGGGUACAGUAGGGUAACGUGCAUCAAAUCUCUUCAAUCCAGUCAGCGUGAUCCGAGAGCAGACGAACGACCGGCAGGCUUUGUGUUGACCUAGUGUGAGUCAGAGCAGCCUUGAGGCUGCUGUAACAUUCUGCUCCCCAUAGGCCCAGGAGCAGAGCACGUGCCGAGCCUUCACAACAGCCAGGGAGAUGCCUUGUGCAGGGGAAUUUUCAAGGGCUGUUUACACCCAUUUUAAAUCCCCUUUGCCUCCCAGAGUUACCUAAUGGGGCAGAAUGUGACUGACUUCAGAUUUUUCACAAAUUGGCUGUUUUCUGCGGAAAGUUUUUUGUUUGUUUUUUACCACCAUCCCCAAUGUCUGAAAAACAAAAUAUUUGCACUAAACCAAAAACAUUUCAAUCUGUAGAGCCUGCUGGGAUGCUGCAAGGGAGCUGUGGUCCAGGUGUGUCAUGUCCCCAUUCUGCUCUGGGGGAGACUCGCCUCAUUCUGGCUGGCUGGACUACAUCUCCCAUGAUGCACCAUAGUUGGGGACACCCACGAUACAGCUGGCUCCCCUCACCUUGAGGAGAUACCAUGGUGCACUGUGGGAGAUGGUCAGAUCAAGGAACCACCUAGCCUCCUGAGAAAAAUGCACCAUGUUAUAUGUUGUUUCAAGUCAUGAAAUAUUUCAGUUCAAUGUAAUCCUACCAGGGUACCAUGUAGCCUCAUGGCAGCAUUUACAUUGAACUGAAAUAUUUUGGUUUCAAUUUUUUUGCCUAAAAGUGUAACUUUCUGUAGAAAAUUUCAGUGAAAAUUAUUCCCCCCUCCCCCAUUUUCAUCAGUUUGCCAUGGUGGGGGGACCCACUUUUUCCAACCAGCACUGCCCAUGCCAUCUGCUUACCCAGGAUCAGGUCUGUGAUUCUGAACCCUAGCACGAGGGUGUUACAAUAGCUGGAAUGGGGGUGCAACAGUCGGCAUAUCUCUGUAAACACUCCUGACUGUGCAAAGCUGUUUGAAUGGUGGAUUCUUGUUCUUGAAACACUGGAGAUGGGAGCUGGUCGAAAUGUUUCAAUGUUUUUUUUCAAUAAAAAGCUUUUUUUUCCAACAGCGAGAUUUUUUCAUGCACAGUUGUUGACCUUUUUGUUUGAUUGCCAAAAAUAAAUAUUUUAAUACUUUUUGAUAAUUUCCAAAACGCAGAGCAAAAAUACUGGUUUGCUGAAAAAGUGGAUUUUGGCAAACAAAAUAAAUAACUGUUUUGGGUUAAACAUUGAAACAAACCCACUUUUCUUCAUUUUUGUUCGAAACACAUUGAAAUGAAAACAACUUUGCCAUUGUGCAUGAAAAUGGCUUUUUGUAUUUUGACCAGCUCUACUAGAGGCCACACUGUUAACAGUCUUCGUUAUUUUAAAAGAUAUAUCCUAGCAGGGGCAUUAAAACCUGGCAUUGGGAUCUGAAUGCACUGUGAUUUGUACGUCUGUGCAGUAUUCUUACAGAUCAGACGUUUCUAUUCUUCUGAUGAUUUAUGACGCUGGAAAGCAAGGGAUUGUGUUGUAGAAAACUCAGGGUUUUGAACCAGAUGCUUUUAAGACGAAUGUAUUUCUUUAUUUUGAGGUAUAAAAAUACACUUUUAUUUGUUCUGUCA